UCCUAGAAACCUCCAACCCCAGGCAGACUUGUAAAAACCCAAAAAGUCUUUCUGCCACCCGACGGGACAUAACUGUUCAUUUAAUCAAAGCUCCGUCAGAUGAUCAUGUGAAGUGAAGGGCUUUUUGGGUUUGUCGGUGCUUUUUACAAACCUUUAGGUCCUUUACUAGCCAACCAUGUCGGUGUUCUCUCCAAAGUCCUCCUCUUGCUGAAGUUCGGCUUUACGGAGGACGGGGCAACCUGACUCUUGGUGAUUUUGAUCAUCCCAAGUUUACCAGCUUAACGGGUUGAGGAACUAGCGGGAUGAGUUCACUUGAAGUCUCUGACCUGAAAUGUUCUAAAGGCUUUGAACUGAAGUGUAAAUGUGGGCUGACGGCAGAACGAAGAGUAUCAAGAACACGUGCAAACCUGUUUAGGUUGUUCUAUAAUUGUCCUAAGAGUGAUUUUGCUGAUCAAUGUGAGUUCUUUGAGUGGGCUGAUGAUCUCUCCC